rnacentral:lncRNA from 1 species
AACUCAUCAGUUUUUAAGUAGUUUUGUUUUAAACCCAGCUUGGGUUAAGAGGCUUAUCUAAGGCAAUGCCUUAUGCCAGACAAAUAUUCAGCACAACACAACACUCACUGCAGCUGAACCUACAAGUCAGAGAAGCUAAGCACAAUACCAAGAGUUUUCUGAUAGCCAAACUCUACUCCUAGGGGUAAACUUUUAAUGUUAUAGAGUCUGGCAAUGUCCCUCCCUCUUGCUGUCUUCAUAGUAUUUCUAAGCCAACUAAGUUAUUGGUUAGUUUUCAUGUAAACU